AAGAAGGUGCCGCGGCGGCGCCGGAGAUGUGUAAUUAAGUGAACCAUAUAUGUUUCAUCAUCAUGGAGAUCUUGGAGAAUUAUCUGAGCACCAGGUUCAUAUGUAUUCGAUCUCAGAGGCAUCUAUUGGACAACAAAACACUCUUUCAGUUGUGAACUUUAUUUAUUUAUUAUUAUUUUUUUUUGAGACAGAGUUUUGCUCUUGUUGCCCAGGUUAGACUGCAGUGGCACGAUCUCGGCUCACUGCAAUCUCCGCCUCCCAGGUUCAAGGGAUUCUCUUGCCUCUGCCUCCCGAGUAGCUGGGAUUACAGGCGUCUGCUGCCACGCCUGGCCAAUUUUUUGUAUUUUCAGUUGAAACGAGGUUUCACCAUAUUGGCCAGGCUGGUCUCGAACUUCUGACCUCAGGUGAUCCACCCCCUGCCUCGUCCUCCAAAAGAGCUGGGAUUACAAGUGUGAGCCACCGCGCCCGGCCCAGUUGUGGACUUUAACAGAGGGAAGCUUUAAACAUGUUUAACCACAGGCCCAAUUUGAACAAAGAUACUUCAAUCAUUAUAGAGAGGAAAACAGUACUUUUUGUUCAAUUGUGCAAACUCUCCAAGUAUCUAAUGGAGAAGUAGAGAGGAACCCAUGAAACUGAGUGUGAAUGAGGCUCAGCUAGGCUUCUACUUGGGUUCACUUUCUCAUCUGUCUGCCUGUCCUAGGAUUGACCCUCGCUCCUCUGAAGACCAGCCUGAAAGCCUUAAAAUUGGUCAGAUGAUGGAUGAGUCUGAUGAGGACUUUAAAGAACUCUGCGCUAGCUUUUUCCAAAGGGUGAAAAAACAUGGAAUCAAGGAAGUGUCAGGAGAAAGGAAGACACAAAAGGCUGCCUCAAACGGCACUCAGAUAAGAAGCAAAUUGAAAAGGACCAAACAAACUGCUACCAAGACCAAAACCCUUCAAGGCCCUGCAGAGAAGAAACCUCCAUCUGGCAGCCAGGCCCCUAGGACUAAAAAGCAAGGGGUAACCAAAUGGCAAGCAAGUGAACCGGCCCUCUCUGUGAAUGGGGAGGGGGGUGUGCUUGCCUCUGCUCCAGAUCCACCUGUGCUCUGGGAAACAGCACAAAACACCCAGACGGGUAACCAGCAAGAACCAUCGCCAAACCUUUCCAGAGAGAAAACCAGAGAGAAUGUGCCCAACAGCGACUCCCAGCCUCCUCCUUCCUGUUUGACAACAGCAGUGCCAAGUCCCUCCAAACCCCGCACAGCUCAAUUGGUCCUACAGCGAAUGCAGCAGUUCAAGAGAGCAGACCCCGAGCGUUUGAGACACGCUUCAGAAGAGUGCUCCCUCGAGGCUGCGCGGGAAGAAAAUGUCCCAAAGGAUCCUCAAGAGGAGACGAUGGUGGGGAAUGUGUAUGGGCUUGGGCCCCCUGCCCCAGAGAGCGACGCUGCGGUGGCCUUGACCCUGCAGCAGGAGUUUGCACGGGUAGGAGCAUCGGCACAUGAUGAUAGCCUGGAGGAAAAGGGUUUGUUCUUCUGCCAGAUUUGUCAAAAGAACCUCUCAGCCAUGAACGUGACCCGAAGGGAACAGCAUGUGAACAGGUGGGGGCAGCUUGGGCCGUCGCCUCUCCCGUGUACGUGACCAGAAUCCCCAGGCACCCCAGGGCUGGAGUGCGGAUCUCCACACCUUACCAUGACAACAGCACCUCAGCUUUGUUGUCAACCUACCCCUUUUUAAAAAUAACUUCGUUGAGAUACAAUUCACAGAACAUAUAGUUCACCCAUUUAAACCGAACAAAUCACUACUUUUGGGAUAUUCACACAGUUGGGCAACUGUCACCACAAUCACUUCUGGAUUAUUUUCAUCACCCCCAAAAGAAUCCCCACACCCAUUGGCAGCCACUCCCUAUUGCCCCUCUCUCCCCUGACAACCACUAAUCAACAUUCUGUCUGGAUGGAUUUGCCGAUUCUGAAAUUGCACAGUUGUCCUUUUGUGUCUGCCUUCUUUGACUUAAUAUGUUGUUUUUGAGGUUCAUCCAUGUUGUAGCAUGGAGCAGGCUUCAUUCCUUUUUAUGGCUGAGCAGUAUCUCAUUGUAUGGCUAGACUGUGUUUUUCCCAUUCUUACAUGAGGAAUAUGACCAUGCUUUAUCCUUUCAUCCAUUGGCGGACAUUUGGAGCAUUUCUACCCUUUGGGAUUGUGGAUAGAGCUGCCGUGAACAUGGGUUUCAUGUAUUUGUUUGGGUACCUGCUUUCAGUUCUUUGGGGUCUCUACUUAGGAGUGGAAUUUCUAAGUCAUCAUGUAACUGCAUUUAAUCUUUCCUUUCUUUCUUUAGCCAACUUUGCUGACAGAUACCUAAGUGUAGUGUCUAGGGGCUGACUGCCGGGAGACGGAGCCAGGCUGUGUAGAGGGCAUUGGCUUUGGGGAACUUGCUUUGACCACAGCACGUCCAUGUUGACCUGGACCCACAUUUGCUCCAAUCCACAUUCCCGGGGAGGGUGGUUCUCCUGUAUUGACUGUUUUCCUUCAGGUGCUUGGAUGAAGCUGAAAAGACACUAAGACCUUCUGUGUCUCAGAUCCCUGAGUGCCCGAUUUGUGGGAAACCGUUUCUUACCUUAAAGAGCAGAACCAGUCACUUGAAGCAGUGUGCUGUGAAGAUGGAGGUUGGCCCCCAGCUCCUGCUGCAGGCUGUGCGGCUGCAGACAGCACAGCCUGAGGGUAGCAGCAGCCCGCCCGUGUUCAGGUAAGUCGACGAAAAGGAAGAAAACCAAGCCAAAUAAUGCUGUGUGCACUCAGGGCUUUUUCUAUUUAAAAAAGCUUUUUAUGGGCUGAACGCAGUAGUUCACACCUGUAAUCGCAGCACUUUGGGAGGCCGAGGUGGGCAGAUCACCUUAGAUCAGGAGUUCGAUACCAGCCUGGCCAACAUGGUACAAUCUCGUCUCUACUAAAAAUACAAAAAUUAGCUGGGCAUGGUGGCACAUGCCUGUAGUCCCAGCUACUUGGGAGGCUGAGGCAGGAGAAUCACUUGAACCCAGAAGGUAGAGGCUGCAGUGAGCCAAGAUCGUACCACUGCACUCCAGCCUGGACAGAGUGAGAUCCUGUCUCC
rnacentral:sRNA from 1 species